AGGGUUCGAUUAUGGCUCAGGAUGAACGCUAGCUACAGGCUUAACACAUGCAAGUCGAGGGGCAGCAUGACCUAGCAAUAGGUUGAUGGCGACCGGCGCACGGGUGAGUAACACGUAUCCAACCUGCCGAUUAUUCCGGGAUAGCCUUUCGAAAGAAAGAUUAAUACUGGAUAGCAUAACGAGAAGGCAUCUUCUUGUUAUUAAAGAAUUUCGAUAAUCGAUGGGGAUGCGUUCCAUUAGUUUGUUGGCGGGGUAACGGCCCACCAAGACAUCGAUGGAUAGGGGUUCUGAGAGGAAGGUCCCCCACAUUGGAACUGAGACACGGUCCAA
rnacentral:rRNA from 1 species